rnacentral:rRNA from 1 species
GACGAACGCUGGCGGCGUGCCUAAUACAUGCAAGUAGAACGCACAGUUUAUACCGUAGCUUGCUACACCAUAGACUGUGAGUUGCGAACGGGUGAGUAACGCGUAGGUAACCUGCCUGGUAGCGGGGGAUAACUAUUGGAAACGAUAGCUAAUACCGCAUAAUAUUGAUUAUUGCAUGAUAAUUAAUUGAAAGGUGCAAUUGCACCACUACCAGAUGGACCUGCGUUGUAUUAGCUAGUAGGUGAGGUAACGGCUCACCUAGGCGACGAUACAUAGCCGACCUGAGAGGGUGAUCGGCCACACUGGGACUGAGACACGGCCCAGACUCCUACGGGAGGCAGCAGUAGGGAAUCUUCGGCAAUGGACGAAAGUCUGACCGAGCAACGCCGCGUGAGUGAAGAAGGUUUUCGGAUCGUAAAGCUCUGUUGUAAGAGAAGAACGGGUGUGAGAGUGGAAAGUUCACACUGUGACGGUAUCUUACCAGAAAGGGACGGCUAACUACG